GGGCGUGUAGCUCAGUUGGUAGAGCGUGUCAUUAGCAUCUACUACUUGACAAGGUCUUUGGUUCGAUUCCUAACUCGUCCA
rnacentral:tRNA from 1 species